UGAAAAAACGCCCUUAAAUCCCCAUUAGGGAUAAGGUGCUGGUUUUAGGCACGAAAAUCUGCCCAAAACACCUAGCUAUGCCACACCCACACGGGAACUCAGCAGUAAUUAACAUUAAAUAUAAGCGACAGCUUGAUUUAGUUAAAGUAAAGAGAGCCGGCAAAUCUGGUGCCAGCCGCCGCGGUUACCCCACGUGGCUCAAAUUGAUCUCCCACGGCGUAAAGCGUGAUUAAAGUUCCCACUAUACUGAAGUUAAACUGAAACUAAGCCGUAGUACGCUUGUUUUACAGAAAUUCACAAACGAAAGUUACUUCAACUUGAUCAACUUGAAUACACGACAAUCAGGACACAAACUGGGAUUAGAUACCCCACUAUGCCUGAUCGUAAACUUUUAACUACUACCCCAUCGCCAGGGAACUACCGAGCUAAGCUUAAAACUCAAAGGACUUGACGGUACCCCAUAUCCCCCUAGAGGAGCCUGUCCUAUAAUCGAUAAUCCCCGUUAAACCUCACCACUUUUAGCUUCUCAGCCUGUAUACCUCCGUCGUCAGCUUACCACGUGAGCGAAAUUUAGUGAGCUUAAUGUUCACACGCCCGUACGUAGGUUAAUGUGCACU
rnacentral:rRNA from 1 species